CCACUCGUGAAUUACGUAGUACCCCCCUUGCGGACCUCCACAGGAAAGCUCGGGCGGCUGCCUCUCGGGGCAGUCGGGCCCCUCAGCCCCCAGGGCUGCGGGGUCGGCAAACCCCAAUUUACACACCCAACCAAACCGUCUGUCUGAAGCUGACUCGACUUGGCACUGCCAGUCGACAAACAAAGACAACUCUCAACAACGGAUAUCUAGGCUCUCGCAACGAUGAAGAACGCAGCGAAAUGCGAUACGUAGUGUGAAUUGCAGAAUUCCGUGAAUCAUCGAAUCUUUGAACGCAUAUUGCGGUCAAGGCUUCGGCCGAGACCAUGUCUGCCUCAGCGUCGGUGUGACCCCCACACCCCCCCAUUUCUGGGUAGGGUGGAACUGGCUUCCCCACUGCCCAGGCAGUGGGCUAGCUGAAAUACAGAGGUUUAAGCUUGGACCUGUAUGGCAACAGCAAGGUAGGUAGCUCCGACUACUCCGGCUGAUGCUUUGGGAACUGGACGAGCCCGCANGAAACACCCACCUUUUCGACCUGAGAUCAGGCAAGCUUACCCGCUGAACUUAAGCAUAUCA
rnacentral:rRNA from 1 species